rnacentral:lncRNA from 1 species
GCUUUCUGAGUUGAAGCCAACUGGUAUAAUGAAUGUGUGAGAGCAUUUCUAUUUAAACAGGAUUCAUGGGGAUGACAGAAAAUAAGGCUGGGGGAGUUGUGAGAGGUGCUACAAGCCAUCCUUUUCAUCCGCAGGCUAGAUCAGCUAAUCUUAUGCCAUUCCUGAGAGAUGCCUGGAGGUUCCUGG